UAAUGAAAAACUAUUUUUAAUUAAUUUUUGAAUAUGACAUCAAAAUUUAUUAACUGUGUUAUAAAAAAAAUUAUUUUACUGACAAAACAAAAUCACAAUUUUUUUUUUCACAAAUUAAAUCAUAUCAUCAUACUUGAAAAAAUUACAACACUACAUAGUAAUUUUUUUUUGUAUUUAUCCUAUAAUUUUAUACCUACGGGAUCAGAUAACAAAUUUUCUGAAUUAUUUAGAAAAAAUUUUAAAAAUAUUUAAAGCAGAAAACUCCAAAGACAAAUACGAAUUGAAUUUGGAUCCAAUAAGAAAGGUGCCUCUGCGUUUAUUUUCGCAAGAUAUAGAGGCUUCCAAAGGAUCAUCGCGGAAGGAGACUGCAAGCUUUUAUUUGAUGCCCUUCGUUCAGGAAAUGUCCCGUCUGCCAUUCAAAAUAUUGUUCACGAAUCAUGAUAUCAAGCACAUGAGUACAGCCAUGCGAGAUGGUCCAUUUUAGCUUGCUUAGAGGCCAGUAGAUGAUCCAAUAGACAAUAUCGAUGCUCCCUGUGCGAUGGCUACUGGAGUGAGGUACGCAGGCUGAGACAUGAGAGAAAGAUGCAGUAAGCAGAUGGUGGAUUCAUGGAGGAGGUGUGGCGGAGCCGAGACAGAGAUUAACCAAGUUUGAAGGGAGCAGGCAGAGGACCAGAGGUAACAGAAUCAGUAGUGGAAGACAGUGAGGGCAAGAUGAGCAUUGUGCUCUAAAAGAAUGUUUAAAGGCUUUGAUAAAACGAUGUAGAGUAUAAAAACAAUCGAUUUGAAUUUUUUUUUUUUUGUAUUAGUAAUCAAAUCAAAUUGAAUCUCUAGAGAUAAUUGCCUAAAAAUCAUUUAUCCU